GUCAAAACUUGCUCAAUUAAACACUUCUUGGUGUCUGACAUUACAUGAAUUAUGAUAAUUGUUAUAUCUCAUGUGAAAUUAUGCCAUUGUUUUUUUUUCAUAUUCUUACUUUGCAUACACACUUUACGACUGCACCCUCCCCAACCGAAUCUUUACUAGUGCUACAUUCUGUUAUGGGUGAAAACAAUUAUUGAACUAAAAACCAGGUCAAGGAAAGCAGUAUGAUGCCCUGUAAUGUAGGAGGAUGCCGCUAUUGCAGUGUUUAGUCUAGAGCUGAAGUUAAUGAGAAAGGGCAGCAAUGUAGGUCAUCUGUCGAUAUUUGCAGACCAUAAUUGUGUUGUGGUCAUUUUGUUAUCGCAGGAAGCAUCUUCAAAAGGCAGUGCUACAAGGUUGUGAGCAGCAGUUUCCCUUGAACGAACGGGUCAAAUUCAUGGAAGCCACGUGCCUGCUGCUUCUGGCCUACACAAACAUGCAGCCACCAUAGUAAAGUUCUUGCAAAGACAUUCUACACGAACUUGCCCAAAGGCGGAAGGAAGGCACGCACAGAUGGACGCACAGAAAUCAUGGGGCUGCCGUAGAAGCUGUGAAUGAGCAUUAACCUACGUACAGAAAGGAGCGAAAUGGAGCUGUCCAUGGGCCGUGCACACAGUUUCAUAAGCAAGCUUGCAACACUUUUGACAAAUAUGUUUCUGAAUACAUCUGCCAAAGUGGCAUUUAAAGAAGC